CCUACGGGAGGCAGCAGUGGGGAAUAUUGCACAAUGGGGGGAACCCUGAUGCAGCAACGCCGCGUGGGUGAAGAAGUACUUCGGUAUGUAAAGCCCUGUCAGCAGGGAAGAAAAUGACGGUACCUGACCAAGAAGCCCUGGCUAACUACGUGCCAGCAGCCGCGGUAAUACGUAGGGGGCAAGUGUUAUCCGGAUUUACUGGGUGUAAAGGGAGCGUAGACGGCAAGGCAAGUCUGGAGUGAAAGCCCGUGGCUCAACCACGGGACUGCUUUUGAAACUGUGUUGCUGGAGUGCAGGAGGGGUAAGCGGAAUGCCUAGUGUAGCGGUGAAAUGCGUAGAUAUUAGGAGGAACACCGGUGGCGAAGGCGGCUUACUGGACUGUAACUGACGUUGAGGCUCGAAGGCGUGGGGAGCAAACAGGAUUAGAUACCCGGGUAGUC
rnacentral:rRNA from 1 species